UCGCGCCAUAAAGCCAGAGGUGCCGUAAAAAGCUCAAAAGGGAAUUCCGUGUGAAUCGGAAGCUGUCCCGCAGCGGUAUGUGGAACGAAACCCGCAAGACACUGAUCAUUGAGAUUGGGAAGUUGGGGAGUAGGUGGAAAAAAUGAGUAAAGCUUUAAAAGUUUUGAAGUGUGAGACGGCCGAGCCGCCCACGAAUUGCAGGCGCU
rnacentral:ncRNA from 2 species